UACGUAGGGGGCAAGCGUUGUCCGGAUUUACUGGGCGUAAAGCGUGCGCAGGCGGUUGUGUAAGUCUGUCGUGAAAUCCCCGGGCUCAACCUGGGAAUUGCGAUGGAGACUGCACGGCUAGAGUGUGUCAGAGGGGGGUAGAAUUCCACGUGUAGCAGUGAAAUGCGUAGAUAUGUGGAGGAACACCGAUGGCGAAGGCAGCCCCCUGGGAUAACACUGACGCUCAUGCACGAAAGCGUGGGGAGCAAACAGG
rnacentral:rRNA from 1 species